UCCAGACUCCUACGGGAGGCAGCAGUCGGGAAUAUUGCGCAAUGGAGGAAACUCUGACGCAGUGAUGCCGCGUAUAGGACGAAGGUCUUCGGAUUGUAAACUAUUGUCGUUAGGGAAGAGAAAGGACAGUACCUAAGGAGGAAGCUCCGGCUAACUACGUGCCAGCAGCCGCGGUAAUACGGAGGAUGCGAGCGUUAUCCGGAUUUAUUGGGUUUAAAGGGUGCGCAGGCGGAAGAUCAAGUCAGCGGUAAAAUUGAGGGGCUCAACCUCUGCGAGCCGUUGAAACUGGUUUUCUUGAGUGAGUGAGAAGUAUGCGGAAUGCGUGGUGUAGCGGUGAAAUGCAUAGAUAUCACGCAGAACUCCGAUUGCGAAGGCAGCAUACCGGCGCUCAACUGACGCUCAUGCACGAAAGUGUGGGUAUCGAACAGGAUUAGAUACCCGAGUA
rnacentral:rRNA from 1 species